UAAAAUGAGGCAACCAUAAAGAUUGUUAUAGAGAACAAUAAUUUGUGCUCACAUAUCGGAGAUCUAACAAUUUGGAGAUCAUCAGGAUGUUUGACUCUGAUCCUUUUGGAUGUCUAUAUAUAAUGGACAUUUUAACUCAAGAACUGACUGUAAGUAUUUAUGUUACUUGGUUGCAUAAAGUAAAAGUUUUUGAAAGACAACUCAAGUUAUAUUGUGACAUAAGUCAGUCGGAUAAUGUUUCAACAACUAUUUUAUAAAGUUUGUCGACUUAUUAGUAGUUGUUGAAUGAUAGAACAUAUAGAGAUAAAGUUUAUGCUAGCUAACUCACUAAUCAAAGACGUGACACCUAAGGUCCUUCAUAUUAUUUUUGUCACUAAGGAUGUCUUGGAUUAGUGGGAGUCUCUAAUUUGUUAUGUUCUAACUUUAGUUUUGAUACUGAUACAGAUUUUGUUAAGGUUUUCUGCAGAAAUAAAGUUUGAGGUUAUUAUUAUUAUAACCGGUU
rnacentral:lncRNA from 1 species